rnacentral:lncRNA from 1 species
ACAUCGCUGAGAAUGAGGGUGAGGAGGAGGAUUAGGCGCACUACCUUAUCUAUGUCUUGUGAACUUAUGGACAGUGUCGGAACAGUCUUGCUGUAGCCUUUGAAGGGAUGAGUUUUGAUGUUUAAAUUGCUCUUCUGAUCUGUUUUAAGCGUGGUGGAACUUCCAAUGUGAUGCUUAGAUAAUCGAGUCCAAGAAUUGUUGGUUCUUGCUUGUCUCUAUAACAUAUCAUCAGUGUUUUAUCGUUCAGUUGUUGACAUGAUUGUCAGCUUGAAAACUCUAGUCAAGCUAAGCAAUUGCAAUCUAGUUUCCUGGAGAAACGCAAUGAACCACUGCGGUCUGUCCUGGAUUCAGGGCAGGAGCUGGUUGCCGAGCGCUAUGUGCUCCCAUUGCUGUCAGCCCUGGUCUAAUUGCGCAAUCUUGUCUACAUGAGUUCGGACACCCAAGGGCAGUUGGCGCGUUGCGGGGGUGUAAUUCAGGCAUUCAGCAGCAGCCAAUUGCCACUGAUGCAGUCAGAUCUGCAAUCGUAUUUUGAUACCCAUUACUUACACUAAACCUCAUUCCUUGAUUUGAUUUCAUUUACGUGACCACUUUGUUACUUAAUCGCGUAGUACAACCAGUCUGUUUCAUUCUUGCUUGGAGUGAAUAUCAAACAAAACUAGCAAAACAAACGUCAAUUGAUAUCAAGUGCAAGAGAGAAGCGAGUAUUCAAGUUUCAAGAUUGAUCACAAUGUCAUUCAAAGUAUUGAACAGUUAUUUAGAGGAAUGUCGACAGAUACAAAGAUCGAUUCUGAGAUCAAUCGAACCAAAAGCAAAAGAACAGCACACUCAGUCAUCACUUUCACUACCAACAUUUAUUGGUGGGAAAAAAAGAUUUAAACUUCAUUGAAAGUGUGUGUAAGUUCAUCACCCAAAAAAGCUGCCAAUCAGCUUGUCUAACUAUGUUCAUGCAAGCGCCGGGGUGGGAGUGCAACCAGUGGCGACUUCAGAUGUCUUUUGUACGGAGCUGUACUUCUUUGUGAUGAACCUGAGAUAUUACAUUAAACAGUUCGAUCAUAAACUAUUCCGUUCAUACUGCAGAUAUUAGUCCUUACACAUUGAUGAUUAGUGCAAAGGCCAGAACUAUACUUUACCCAAAAAAAACUUAACAACUAGGUCCAGUUAAUUGCAUGUGUUACAUUUUGGGCAUAAGAAGAAUGCAUGGUGGAAGCUAGUGCCUAAUGCUACAAAAGCUGCACUAUAUAACAUAUUUUUCUAACUGGUGAAACAAUUGAACUUCAGUUUAAGAUGCAGAUGAAAUAUGAGUCCAAGAAGCAUUUUAUUGUCUCUGUACUACAAGUUUGCACAGGAUUUACAAGAUAAUGCUGGGAUAUCACUUUGUGCAUAACGAAUAUUUGUGCUAUGAUAAUCUGAUUCAAUAGUAUGAUACUAUGAUGCAAUAUUUGAGUUUCAUAUGCAAGCAUGGAAUGAAUACUCAUGCAUACAUGAUGACUCACAGUAUUGUCUUUAGAGUUCACACUUUGUGUUGGUUAUUUCAUAUCCUCUACGAGACAUGGGCACUCAGCUCAGUUAGUCAUCUCAAACACAGAGGGUAAGAGACACAUACCUGAAGAAAUCUCUCCAUAGCAACUCAAACAUUAACCAAUUUGUCCCAGCAUCAGAUGUGCCAUCAUCAUUCUUGGGUGUUGACCCAGAAGGAAUUGCUCUGGGAGGACAAGAAUUGCUAAUUAUAUACAGGAGCAAAUUUAUAUUGUGAUGAACUUCUGUUCAGCUAACUUGCAUACCUAGUAGCAUGCUUCUUCAACUCUUCAUACAUGAACCGUGGAGAGAGGCAACCCGUAGCAAGCCAUGGUGAAAUUUUGCAGGAGAAAUUAGCACCAUAUAUGCUAUCUCGGGUAUUGCUUUUGUCUACUUUGUUUGGCUGCAUAGAGCAUUCUGCAGCGAACUUCUUCAACCUCUCCAGAGCUUCUGCCUCACCACCAAUAAGAGUAGAGCCGACAGCAGGUUUGGAGUCCUAAAUGAUCAAAUAAGUAAAUGUAGAGAUCAGGACGCACUGCAGAGAAUGGAUCUUUGGUGUGAGCUACAGAAAACUAUGGCCAUGGCACUAACAGAAAUUAUUUAAAAGAUACGAUCCAAUCCAAUCACCAGUGUCACUGUCCACAUUAACAACUGACCAGCCUUUUUUAUUCUUUGGGAAGUAAGACACUCAGCAUUUCACUUCGACAUUGAUGUCGAGGUCCCUUUAAGAUGUCAAUGUAGUUCUACAUAUUCUUCCCAAAACAACUAAUAAGAACAUAAAACUACAGGUUUACACUGUCCCUAAAUCAAGGGGGUGGUAUUUCACAGCACAAGAUGCAAAAGACCAAUGCACAAGUUGCCAAUGUGACUCAGUUCCAAAGCUCCAAAAUGUGAAAUCUUUUUGGAGAUGUCAUUAUCGUGGAGAACAAAGCUAACUACUAAUGCACAUGAAGGUGAGAUAAUGAUAAACAAUUCAAUCGCAGAAAGAGUGGAAUUUUGGGAUUUCUCUUUGAGACAAAACCGCAAACUUCUUUUACCAUCAUACCAUAAAAAUAAUUGUACUACUGGUUUGUCCUGUGCUACUCAGACAAUCCUAUCACAGCUGUGAACAGAAAUGGAUUAAGAGAGCACUAGCACUACACAUUCAUAAUAGGACCAUGACAACCUAAACAAACGACAGGACUAAAAUUUCAUAUCCAGUUUCAGUUCAUCACUAUCAAAGAUUCAGCAUACCUAAGAUAUGUCCAAGUCUCCAAGAGUUGGAUAUUUUACAACAAAAUCUAGCUAAAUGGUCAAUGGCACUAAAACAUGCUAUAAUUAGCAACUUCCAUCCACUUCUAGUUCUAGAAGUACAAUGUACUGGAAAGUACCAGUGUACCACAAACUUUUACCACAUUUAGAGAAUAAAUUGUCAUGAUUCUGAACUGAGCGAAAGAUCUAAAAUCUAAAUGCCGACUAACCUGUGGCAUGGCUGGUGGCGCAGUGAGCCCGAGCUCGGCAAGCGUGGGGAUGUCCCCAGGCUCGAGCACGUUCUUCAUGGGAACGCACUUAACCUCCUCCGGAGCCUCGAGCACCUUCCUGACCUCUAAGCCCUUAACGGCCUCCCUGAAGCCGCCAUAGUUAGAUGGCAUGUCCUCGAGGCGGAAGGGCAGGUCCUCCACAUGGUAAAGCGUGCUACCCCAGAAGUACUUCACGUUGAUGCCCUCCUUCUCCACGGCCUUUUGCACCCUCUCCUCGGCGCGGCACUCGUCCCGCGACACCUCCCCAUGCGCGUACACAGCCUCCGCGCCCGCCGCCCGCGCGAGCUCAGGGAUGACGACCUCGGGCCUGCCCACGCGCACCACAAGAUCCCCACCGCGCGCGCGGAGGCUCCGCCGGAGGUCGGCGACGGAGUCGAGCAGGAAGUUGGCGCGGUACGGGCCGGUGCGGUCGAACCCCGAGGGCGACUUGCCGAAGUCCCGCGGGUCAAAGACGAAGACGGGGAGGAGGGAGGAUGACGCCCCGGCCGCGGCGUGGAACGGCUCGUGGUCGUGGAGUCUGAGGUCGGCCCGGAACCAGACGAGCGUGCGGCGGCGUCCCGCGGCGGCGGGCGCGCCGGACGGGAAGGAGCGGGAGAGGCCCGGCGUGGAGGCGGGCAGCGGCGAGAUGACGGAGGAGGUGGCGGAGUUGAGGCGGGUGGGGCGGCGGGACGGGGACUGCGCGCCGGAGGGGUGGAGGCAGACGGCGAGCGUGGAGAUUUGGGUGGGGAGGUGGAUGGUGGACGGGAUGGAGGCGAGUGUGGGGGCGGUCGGCGCGCGGAUAUUGAGGGAGAGCGAGAAGGAUGCGAAGGGGAGGAGGCUGGGGUCCUCGCGCGGGUGGGCGCCGGCGUCGGAGUCGGAGGCGGCGGCCAUGGUUGGUGGGAUGCGAGGAUGAAUGGGGGGAGGUGGAACAGAUUUGAUGUGGAUGAGGGAGUGAGGAUGGGUUGGUUGGAGUUGGAGACUCGAGAGUAAGGACUAGGAGGGAGGGAAGGUGGUGGGGAAUUUUGGAGCCCCACCAACCAUUUUCAGUUUUACCAGAAUCCAGAUUGGAGCUCUUGUCACCAACCCUUUCUGGUCAGAUGUGAACUUUUCAAAGGCAAAAAUUCACAAAUUCGGUAAUUUGUGUAAACUAAUGAGAUUUUUAUUUGAAAACAAAACAAAGUAGGUGUAGAAAAACAAAGGCCGACUUGUUUCUUCAUUCUUUUUCCCCCCUCAUCAUGUGUACGUACAAGACCCACCAGAUGGCUUGUUUGAACAUAGGCAAAUCAAUCGUUUUUACCGUCAUCUGAAAAAUGGGGCUUAAAACAAGUGGGGCUGCCAGUAACGGUUCAAUGAUCGGUACCCAAUACAUCUUAAUCGGAGACAUAGCAUCAUUAUCAUUUGAAAUAUCAGCACUUCAGCAGCGAAAGCAACAAAUAUAAAGAUACAACUAUUUCAGCGUACCAAAAUUUCAAAGCUCUGGUGCAGGAGCUCACAAUACUAAUAAACCAGUGGUGUGAACCUUUUCCUAUGGGUCAUGAACCCGUUUUCACUAUGAGAAAAAACCCUAUACACUCUUCCUGGUGUGCACUCUGCAAAGUCGGUGUGCCAACAAUUCUGAUGAGCUCUGCUUCCUCCAUAUGUCUACACUUCUCAACACAUGAAGCCAACUGAAAAGAAGACGACAGUCUCAUCACUUUCUCUUAUGUGAAGUUGCCCCCUUUGAUUGUUUUGCAGAGGCUUUCUUCGCAUUUGGGUGUGGAGUUACUCUCUGAAUGACCCUUUUCGGUUCAUCCGGCUUCAUAUGGGGAUCAACCUCCUCAUACUGUAUCGGCUUAAUGAUAACACCAGGCUUCUUAACAAUCUGAAAAAUAUAGGAGGUACAACAGUGAAUAGAAACUUAAUCAACAGGCACUUCAAAACAAAUGGCAGGAGUCAGUGUACUUGUGAUUAAUUUGUUAUUACCAACUCGAAAGUUAGGUCCUGAGAACAUGACAUUAGGCAGGUUUUACAAUCAAGAUAUGACUCAAUAAUCGUGUCACUAUUCACCAUUCCAUGUCCGCCAUUUUGAUGUAGCUACAGAGAAAAAGGAAACCUAAACAGAUGCUGGUUGGCAUAAACAAACAUCCUGGUUGCACAUGUAAAACAGACAGUACUGUAUGUACUUGAAUAUAAUGCAAAUCUGACAAGGCAAAACCAGUUGCUUUCAAAGUAGACUAUUGAAUCACCUAUGUGAUUCAGACAUCCUCAAGUAUAUGUACUAAAUUAAUAGUUCUUAACAGUCCGAUGAAUCAGCAAGAUGAACUCACCGCAGGUCGAUUGAGAGCAGAAACUGAUAUCGCUGGGUUGAAAUCAGGUCCAAUAGGCAUACGGAUGCUCUGCUCGUAGACAUCCUUCGAAGUGUAAGGGAAAGGCAAAUUCCUCACUAAAUACUUCUCAACCUGCAAAGUGCAAAGCAGCAAAAAUUAUAGCUUGUUCAAGCAUUUCUAAAAAAACUAAAGAAACAUCUCAGCACUAAGCAUCCAGGCAGAAGGAAACAAUACAUCUAGAUACGCUUUUCCAGAAUUAUAAUAGAAUACCAAAGGUAUGAAUUAUAGAUAAACAACAUAAAUAUAACAUAUAGCGAACAUGUUGCACAUAACAAAUCAAAUAGACAUUUACCUUCUUAUCCACAUGUUCAGAAAUAAUAACGUGCUUAAGCUUUGCGUCCUUCCUCCUCUUCAAGGCUUCUUCUCUAUUCCUUUUAGCAAUUGCAUGUUCUUUGAUCAUCCAUGAUGGAAGUCCUUUUUUCUGCUGGAUGUCCGUCCACUGGCCCCAGCCAGGAACAAGAGCAGGUUUUUCAGGUUCAGGGUUCUCUUCAUUUAAAACUUCCAUUUUGUCCUUCUCAAAGUCAGCUUCAACAUCAUCACCAGCAAAAGCCUGGCGUAUGAGUUCAGCUUGCGAUGGAAGUUCAUAGUUUUCCUUUGUGUCAGACAUGGUCAAGAAGCCCUCAACCAUCUCUUCCUCUGAAUCUGAAUCAGGAUUGCUACCCUGUUGCUACUCAAAAACAAAGUGGAAAACAAAAUCAGUGAAACAACCAACUGGAUAUAGAAUCAAGAACCACAUAUCAUAGUUAAGACAAACCUUAGGAUUUGGAUCUACAAUAGGUGGAGCCUGUAAUUUGGAUUUAUUGGUAACGCCAUUGACAUUGCUAUUGCCAUUUCCUUUGCUACUGUUGACCUGGUGAAAACAAGAGACCAUAAGCUUAAAAAAAAAGCAAGGCGAGGAAAAAAAUAGCUGUGAGUGCAAGCAUAAGUACCUUUUUCCAGGAAUCACCAGCUAACAUUCCAACUUCAAAUGUUGUCUUAGGACCUGGAUUUUUCAUGAUAUCAUCGAAGCUCUACAUAAUGCAACUACAAAUCAGAAUACUGUAACAUAAAUUACAUGAUUUAAUAACUUGAAUGUAUAAACACCUUACUUUGUAAAGAUCAUUCUGUUCAUCAUCCAGCAGUGCAGUCCCAAGUUGUAUGUCAUCUUGCUUUGUAGUUGGUUCAUUGUUGCCCAAGUGUUGGGCAGGGUCAGAAUCAUACUCACUAUCACUACUCUCAGUUUCGUGUAGUUUUUGCCUCUUAUUUACAUCUUCAUGUGUAUUUUUGGCAGGCCCAAAUGUUCUUUUACCUGUCACCUUAAUUGAAUCUUCAUUCUGUUCAGUGUUAUCGUCCUCCAAUUUCCUCAAGGAAUCAUCGUAGUCUUCAAGAGCUUGUCGUGCUUCCUCAUAAGCUGCUUCCUCCUGUUUUUUCAUAGCACGCUCCUGUAGAUAAGCACAGAAAUGUGAUAAUUGGGGUGAGAGGGUGACAGAAUCACAAUGUUGCUAACAAAUAUACUUUUGCUAAACAAAUGCACAAAGGGCACGGGAAAUGAAAGUGCACCAUGAAAGGCAACGAAAAAACUCCUGAAUUUGGUAUCUCUUUAUCUUCUUCAAGAACUUUAAGAAUCUUUUCUUUCCCUCUGUUUAAGAUUUUUGCUUCUGAGUCAUUCUCAUCUUCGUCAUCAUCUGAACUUUCCUCACUGCUAGAAUCAUCUUUCAUGGAAUUCAUUUUUCUAGUCAGAAGAGCAUUUUGUUGGAGUUGUGCUGUAAUAGCAGCUCGUGUGCCUUCAUCUUGAACAGACAAUCCACGCUUGAGGAUUCGUUUUGCCCAUUUCGAUGUAUUCUUGUGCUUUAAUGUCAUCCUUUCCUGUAAAUAAUCUCAACAUAAAUUAACGAUGUUUUGGGGGAGAGAAAUGAGUAAGCUAUCCGACAAGAGAAAAAGAAAUGAGCAAAGAUUUACCUCUGCACGUUUAAAUUCUUGUUUCAUAGCAUAAUCUUUGAUAGCUUCAGGAUCUGCCUCAAAUUCUGCUGAUGCUACCUUCAGUUUGUCCUUCUUCAACAUUCGGUGAUAUGUCCUGGACUUGAUCUUCUUCACACGUUUUGCUUUCAUCUCAUGACGAAAUAGAAGGCUGCGCAUUUUAGCAAGGCGGUUUUGGCGUUCUCUCACAUCUUCCACAUCAAUCUACAUAAGUUAAUUUAACCUAUUUAGCAAAAAAUGUUCCAAGGCUUGGAAUAUGCAGCAUAACAUUAAACAUGUUCAAUGAACAAAAACAUAUUAGUCAGCACUGAUAUGGUACCUAGUUAAAUUCAGUUGAACUGAUGAAGUGCAAUGAGAUCAUCAACAUACCUUGUUGAGUUCCAGGAUUUUGGCACCGUCAUUCUUGUGUGCCUCCAUUAUUUCACUGCUUCGUGUAAUCUCAGCCAUUCUCUUCUCAAACUCACUCCUUGGUUUAAACUUGCUUGCAAUUGCCGCAACGGUGUUCACACCCAAGUUGGCAUCAUUUUCAAAGAAUAGUGUAGGAGCUUCACGGUUGCCCUUCACAUUUCUCUCCCACUUUGUGAGCUCACGCUUGAGUUCCUGAUUCGCCACGCCACGCUCAAGCUUCUCCCUAUCCACUUUUGGAAGUGGGGCAGCCACAAUCAUUGUUUUUUUCUCCUGCUGCUGCAGCCUCUUACGGACCUUGCUAUACCCAGGCUUUCCCUGGAUAUUAUCCAAGAGAUCAUGAAUUGUGACAGGUCCAUCACCAUGCUGCAAUGGCAGCUCCGACGGCUGUUUCCUCUUCUUUCCUGUUUUUGACAAAUUAUUUCAGAUUCUGAACCACGAAUGAUAAACAAACUCAAUUUUCACCAUCAGCAUCAAUGGUUCAAGAGAAAUGUGAUUUUAGCAUACAUUUUUUAGAGUUUUGGCUUUUCUAUUUAUGAGAGCUAUUCAACAUUGUUCAGCACCUAACGUUUUGGCAGGAAAGAGCAGCCCUUUCAAGCCUUCAACGAAAGAUCCAUCUCUGUACGCAAUGUGUCUAUGAGAAUAUCUUUUAUGCAAUGUCUAAGGAUUCACAAAAAGUUUACCAUCAAAGGCUUCUCUAGGCAUUCCAGUCGUUUCCUGAAGUAUUCUUAUCUGCUUCUCCUCAUCCUCACCAUCGUCAUCUUCCUCCAUAUCCUCACCUUCCUCCGAAGGCACAUCCUCAUCCUAAAACACAAAUGCGAACGCAAUUUAUCGCAAGUACCAGAGCAACUAAAAUGCCUACCAAUGUCGCAUCAAUUUCUUCGCUGGUUCGCACAAAAAUACACCCUUUUUUUCUUUGUUGCGCAGCAAGUCGAGCCGCGGCUAGUUAGUCUCUACAACAGACCCUCAAACGCACAAGAGAGAAGUAAGGGGGUCACCGCACCGCCUCCGAGGCGUCGCUGUCGAACUCGUACUCAUACUUGGCGACGGCGUCGUAGCGGCCGUUCUUGCCGGCCUCCUCCUCGGGGACCCCCUCCUCGUACUCGUACACGUCCUGGGCACCCGCGUCGGAGAGCUCCUCGUCGUCGGAGCCGCCGGGACCCAUCGCGUCGAGCUCCCGGCGCAUCGCCGUGGGGAGGCGGGGCCCGUGGCGGCGCUUCUUCUCGGGGCCGAGGGCGGGCUUGCCGCGCCGCAUGGCGGGUUUCUUCGGCAUUAGAGCGAGGAUCAGAGCGGUGGAAGGAACCGGCGGCGCUGUGCUCGGCGGCGUGGCAGGGAGGACGGGCGCCGAGCGUGUCUGCGUAUGGCGCCGGGACUCGAGGCGCGUCGAGCGGCUGGCGGCUAGGGUAUGCUCGUUCUCGCUCGUGAGGAGUGAAGGACACGGGAAGACGGGAGAUGGGCUUCCAGAGAAUUUUUUGUGUUUGGAUGUGUUGGGUACUUGGGCCGGCAAUUGAGGUAUUUAGAAUUGGGCUUUAAAUACAGACAGAAAAAAACCACUUCCUAGCCAUUCUUCUCUAUUCUCUAACUUCUUUCUACUGCUAGCUCGACUCCUUUCAAAAAAGACCGAGCAGCUCGGCCUGGCCCGUGCUAGCCGGUCUGAAAAAAAGCCCGAAAAGACCGGCUCGAAAUCUGUUCAUGGACGGGCUUAUCAUGUUUUUUUCCCCGAGGCUGUUUGCCGGGCUUGGCCCGAGCCUGGGCAUGCUCUCUCUGCUAAGCCAAUUGAUGUUUUUUUUUCCUCUGAUUCUAAUACAUGUGCAUUUAUUAAGGAUUCAGAAAACAAAAUGGAUUGCACAACCUUCAACCACAACUAAUAUGAAUUAUUAGAGAUAACAUGGUCACUUCUCACAGCUACUCAUUUGUCCAGAAUUGUCUAAACGAACACUUAUUUUUGACUAAGAUUUUAAGUUUUAAGAAAAAAAAAACUCAACCCAUGAAGCUGGAACAGAAGCACAAAGGCUGAGGGCGAUACAAGCUAGCGAAGCAAAGGCCUGAACUUCCUCCAUUAUUGACCAACGCAUUGCAAUUGCAUCGGCAAACAUCACAACUUCACCUCCCAUUUCUCAUGUAGAGUUCCACAUGUAAAUCCAAUGUUUCCUAAGAUCUACUACGUUAAAAAGUAUUGGCAGAUGUGUAUUCGAUGGUGAGAAUUGCCUAGAGGAAGCAAGCGGGGGUGGGCAUCACAGGUGGCAAGCAAAGAGAUGGGAAGAGGAUAUUGGAUUUUAUGUAAAUUAUGGAAAGAAAAUAAAAAAAAGGCCUUUUGCCAAGCGCAAACUCCUCGUUGUGUUUCGCUUUUGUAAAUCAACAUUUGGAACUGCUGCUCCAUAUUCUCUAUCUUAAUAAAAAGAUAUUAAAAUUCUUUUGUGUAUUUGGUAAUUUUUUUAUUGGAAUGAGGGGAAAACACCUUUCACAUUGGAAUAAAAAUAGAAUGAUACUUUAAAAAAAAA